rnacentral:rRNA from 1 species
UACGGAGGGGGCUAGCGUUGCUCGGAAUUACUGGGCGUAAAGGGAGCGUAGGCGGACAGUUUAGUCAGAGGUGAAAGCCCAGGGCUCAACCUUGGAAUUGCCUUUGAUACUGAUUGUCUUGAGUUUGGGAGAGGUGUGUGGAACUCCGAGUGUAGAGGUGAAAUUCGUAGAUAUUCGGAAGAACACCAGUGGCGAAGGCGACACACUGGCCCAAUACUGACGCUGAGGCUCGAAAGCGUGGGGAGCAAACAGGG